AGUGAACGCUGGCGGCAGGCCUAACACAUGCAAGUCGAACGAACUCUUCGGAGUUAGUGGCGGACGGGUGAGUAACACGUGGGAACGUGCCUUUAGGUUCGGAAUAACUCAGGGGAACUUGUGAUAAUACCGAAUGUGCCCUUCGGGGGAAAGAUUUAUCGCCUUUAGAGCGGCCCGCGACGGAUUAGCUAGUUGGUGAGGUAACGGCUCACUAAGGCGACGUUCAGUAGCUGGUCUGAGAGAAUGACCAGCCACACUGGGACUGAGACACGGCCCAGACUCCUACGGGAGGCAGGAGUGGGGAAUCUUGCGCAAUGGGUUAAAGCCUGACGCAGCCAUGCCGCGUGAAUGAUGAAGGUCUUAGGAUUGUAAAAUUCUUUCACCGGGGACGAUAAUGACGGUACCCGGAGAAGAAGCCCCGGCUAACUUCGUGCCAGCCGCCGCAGUAACAC
rnacentral:rRNA from 1 species